rnacentral:rRNA from 1 species
GCAGAGGAUGCUUCGGGUUCGGCGCCGGUCUAAGUUCCUUGGAACAGGACGUCAUAGAGGGUGAGAAUCCCGUAUGUGACUGGUCGCCACGUCCGUGUGAAGCUCCUUCGACGAGUCGAGUUGUUUGGGAAUGCAGCUCAAAAUGGGUGGUAAAUUUCAUCUAAAGCUAAAUACUGGCCAGAGACCGAUAGCGCACAAGUAGAGUGAUCGAAAGAUGAAAAGCACUUUGGAAAGAGAGUCAAACAGUACGUGAAAUUGUUGAAAGGGAAGCGCUUGCAACCAGACUUGCCUGCGGGUGAUCAACCGGUAUUCUUACCGGUGCACUCGCCCGUGGUCAGGCCAGCAUCGGUUUGGCGGGCUGGAUAAAGUCCCCUGGAAUGUAGCUCCUCUCGGGGAGUGUUAUAGCCGGAGGUGCCAUGCAGCCCGCCCGGACCGAGGACCGCGCUUCGGCUAGGAUGCUGGCGUAAUGGUUGUAAGCGACCCGUCUUGAAACACGGACCAAGGAGUCUAACAUCUAUGCGAGUGUUUGGGUGUCAAACCCAUGCGCGUAAUGAAAGUGAACGGAGGUGGGAACCCUCAAGGGUGCACCAUCGACCGAUCCUGAUGUCUUCGGAUGGAUUUGAGUAAGAGCAUAGCUGUUGGGACCCGAAAGAUGGUGAACUAUGCCUGAAUAGGGUGAAGCCAGAGGAAACUCUGGUGGAG